UACCGGAACGACCGCAUUUUGCUCGCCGCCGUAGAUCCUCUGCUCAUCAGAUCUGUGCAUCUCCGCCUCUCCACCACAGAUCUGUGAAGGCGGAGGAGUGACGCUGGAAGAGUGAAGGCUUUUUGUGCAGGCCUGUGAGAGAAGGAGAGGCGGUCCUCUUCGCUGGUCCAGUCGUUAUCGUUAGUUUUUGCAAUCAGGUUUGGGGGUUGGUGGCAAUGGGGCAAUGGACUGUAACGGGGAUGAGGCCGCUAGGGGGAAGGAGAUAGCGGAGAAGACGCAGUCGAGGGUGCACCUCCUCCUCAGCAGCUUGCAGGCCGCGCACCGCGUAAUACGCGAAGAACAGGCAGCUGUUCACUUAAGCCGUUCUUAUGCAAAACUGAUUUUGCAGCCUAGUUUUCCGAUUCGAAGACGAGGUUUUACACCCUUUGGCAGGAGGAUAUUGAGUGGGGAGGAGGGAAAGCGCUUUCUGCCGCCUAUUAAUCGUCGCAAUCAGAUGGUUUUCGCGACCGCCGGAAUGAAUUCCGAGAAAUUCCCAUUCCUUACGAGGGCGAGGAUCGUCAAGGCGUUCAUCCUCUGCAUCCCGCUCUCCGCCCUGCUCCUGGCACUCAGCUUGACCGCUGACUACCGCGGCAGAAGUUCGCUUGCCGCUGAGAAAGCGUCGUCUGACCUUCACAUCCGCCGGAGCUACAAGUCCUACGACGAGUACGUGAACCGGCAAAUGAGGAAGACGCUCGAUCCGAAGCUCAGGCAGAUCUGGACGACCCAGGAUUGGAUGCGGAAGGUGGAGGUGUUCUCCCAAUUCUUCUCGCGUCUCCGGGACGAGGGGCUGCUUCGGAACGAGUCGAGGUGCCUCUGCGUUGGCGCCCGGGUGGGGCAGGAGGUGCAGGCGCUCCGGGACAUCGGCGUGAAUGACUCGGUGGGCAUCGAUCUCGUUCCCUUCCCGCCGCUCGUUCAGAAAGGGGACUUCCACGCGCAACCGUUCGCGAACGAUACCUUCGACUUCGAGUUCUCAAACGUCUUCGACCACGCGCUCUACCCAGACCGGUUUGUCGGCGAGAUCGAGCGGACGCUCAAGCCCGGCGGCAUCUGCGUGCUCCACCUGAUCAUCCGCACGCGCGGCGACAAGUACUCCGCCAACGACCUCUUCAGCGUGCGGCCGUUGAUCCACCUCUUCAAGCGAUCGAAGGUCGUCCACGUACGUCAAGUCGACGGGUUCGGCCUCGAUACGGAGGUUGUCUUGAGGAAAAAAGGCGGCCGAUCGUCUUCUUGAUUUUUCUUGCCUAGGAGGAUUCGCUCUGUGCUUCUUCAACCAAUCGCCACAAGGAAAUGCAGAGGCUCUCCUCUCCCCAUCAAAUUGCCAGCCAUCACUGUAAAGCAGUUACUUCACUACGUAGUGACAAAGUGAAUGAAUCAUGAGCAUCACGACUUAACGGGGCUGGCGCGACCGGCGGGCUGGCCGGAAAAGGACUUCUCUGCAAAGAUUCACUUAUGCCUACUGUUGGUAGUGCCUGCUGGACGUCUCUUUUUCGCCGGAAAGGGCCGUCUUUUGCUUUGUAUUUCAGAUUGCAGGACCGCCUUUGUAAAUGCGCCCCACUAGAUUCCGAAGGCGAUGCAUCCAUCUUUGGCGAUGGUGAAAAACGACGAUUGUUGAUUAUGCAUUUUCAGGAACAGUGAAUCAAUGGGGAGAAAUAGAAAAAAAGAGAAAUGACAAAGAAGAAAAACACCAAAAGCUGGCGUCCGUCUGACAGAGGAUCUCUGGAGCAUUAGUACGAGCAGCUUUAAUGGUGGUGGACGAGCGCGAGUUGGGUGCAUGAAAUUUUCGGCACCAUGGAGUGUGUUCAACCCACUUCGAACCUUUUGUCAUCAAGAUGCAGCAUCAGAGGUCUGUCCCCAAAUUUUUUUUGUGCCCUAUGAAAGGUUUAUAAUCCUCUUCAGUGAUGAAACGGGGACGACGGCAAAUUUGUGCAGCAAGAUUAGCGAUGCAUGUGUGAUUUGUCCAUUCAAUGUAGUAAAGGGACAGCUACUGGAAGUUCAUUUAAUUAUCAGCGUU